AGGCAGUGCCAAACAAAAGUUUAGUUGAUAAAAAACCCUUUCAAAAAACCUCUCUAAGAUAUAAUUUAAGUUAAAAAAUGGAGAAAUCCUGAAAUCAAGUAGGAUAUUAUAGAUAGCAUGGAAAAUCAAGAGACAAAGGUAUAUUGUUUAACAAUUAUGCAAAACUAAUUUCAUAUAUUCGUGAAAAUCAUAUAUUUGAUUGAUUAAAUUUAUGUUAGUUAUUAUAUACUACAAAAAUAUUUGAAUCAUGAAUUCUAGUUUGCUCAUAAACAGGAAACAGGGAGAAAACUGCUAGACUAUGUCAUCCCACAGUGGAAAUCAGUAGGCGAGGGAUGUCCUUAGGGGAGUACACAAGGUUGAGGCGCUGAUAAACAGUAAUUAUCCGCUAAAGUACGAUGCUAGUAGUGACCGAAAAACAUGAUAACGAUACUCUAGUUUAUAAUAAACUAAUAUGAAUUUAAUUGAAUUAUGAUAUGAUAGGAAGGAAUAAUUGAAAAAAAACCUGCAUAAAUAAAUAAACAUGAUUACAAUGUAUGAUGAAAUAAAAAACUAUAAAACUUUGAUCUCAUAUAUACUUAAAGAUAUAGAAAUUGUUGACAUAAAAAAAUUAUGUGGGAAAAAAUAUUUGAUCAUGAUAUAGAAGAUACAUUAAAUCAAGAAUGGUAUGAAAUAGAUUUACAAAAAAUAGAUAUAGAAAGAAUAGAUAUAUACGAUUUAGAAAUAAAUUCAGAUUAAAAUGAACUAUGACUAUUUAAAAUAUUGGAUAAAAACUAUGAAUAUAUAAGAUUAUUAAAACAAUUAAUGCAAGAAAAUUUAUACAUGUACAAAAGAACCCAAGAUAUGUUAUAUAUAGAAUAUAUAAUAAAUAAUAUUAAAGAAAUAUUUAUAUUAGAACAAUUAUCAAAAUAAAAUAUAUUUUACUCUAUAAAAUAUGUAUGUCGUUUCUCACCGAUUUUAUGCCCAUCCGUAAACAACAUGCACUUAUUUAUUACUAAUAAAGUAUGAAUCAUGGUCUAACUUUUUACUUGUAUUAACAGAAGAAUGACGGAUUAUGUGCAAAAUCAGAUUAAUACUAAAUAUAAGAUUAUGCCGCUACACAAUAAGCUGCCACAAAAGUUAAAUUAUAUAAAUACAAAACAAAAAUUUUGUUGCGACUCACAAGGCUGCCACAGAAGUUUCACCUUUAGUGGCGAUAAGGUUGCUGCAAAAGGGACUUUUGUAGCGACUCUUAACUGAUAUGAUCGUAAUAAAUAUCUUUUUUUUUCAAUUAUAUUUUAUUAGAAGAUUAAUUUAUAUUGGGGUCGACUUGUUAAUUGUCUCCACUAAAAAGGACACACUUAGUGGCGACUUUACUAGUCACCAGUAAAACUAUGAUCUUUUAUAGCAACCUUUUGAAGUGGUCACUGGAGCUCUCACUUUUGUGGCACCUCUACACGUUGUCACUAAAAGUUGUUGCAGAAAACCACAGUUCUUGUAGUGUGGGUUGUACUUCCAUGUCGAGGAAGACAAGAAAGAGUUAGCGAAAGAUAUAAGCACAAUUGCACGAUUGGGAGUCCAGUUAAUAUUUCCAACGAAGGUGGAGUCGGUUAAUGGAAUUCAUGUUUGGUUGACCUAAAUGUUUGAAUUUUUUUUUUCCAAAUCAACUCAUUUUUCUCAAAUUUAAUGAAAAUUAGAUUGAGUAGAAAGAUCUGAUAUCAAAAGUUAGAAUUACAAUUAUUGAAUUAUGGCAAAUAUUUUGUUUUAAUGUCACAUAAAUUUAGAAUUUAUAUUUAUUGUUAACUUGGGUUCAUGUGUCCUGUGUCAUAAUUUGAUUUAUGAUUAGUUUAAAAUAUUGUGUAUGAGUUAAACCUAGAUAUUUUUAAAGCAAAUUUUUAUUUUAUGUUCAAAAAAUACAUAUUUAUUAAUAUUAUAGAGUCUAAUAGAUAAUAAUUUUAAUUACAAUAUUCAAAUAAAUUAUAUAAACGACAUUAAAGAGCUACAAUGACUUAAAAUAAAAAAUAAAAUAUCAUACAAAUAGAUGCAUAUGAUUGGAUAACAUCUUUAAUUUUUUAAGAUACAAGUGCGUGAACACAUUGAUUUUAUAAAUGAGUCCUUUCAAAAUUAUUAUGAAACUGCUCUCACUUCCCAAUUAUUUUGCAUAUAGUGGCUUGGAAAUGGAACAUGUCGGUGACCAAAGGGGCCUGUCACUACCACUCCCGUUCAUGACACUAUCUUUAAAUAAUAAUAAUUGAUAUAGGUAUUCACGAAAUACAUGGAUAACAUUAAAAUGUUCUUUUCAAUUAUUUUUAAGCUAGGAUAUUGUUCACGCUUAGCACGGGUCCGAGAGUUCCAAAUCUGGUGUCUUUUUUUAUUUUUUUUUAGUGUACUUGUUAAAUAAGUGUUUAAUGUUAAGGUCUACUUAUUUUCAUUUUGUCGUUUUUAUGUCUCCAAGUAUGUGGGCAUCCAAACUGUAAUAUCUACUCCCACUUAAAAUUGAAUAUUCACAAGUUGAUCUCUUAUUGUUUAGGCCUUCAUGCAUCGGAGUGUUGAAAUAUAUCCUGCUACGUUGGCUUGUCCGUACGACGAUCUUAAACGGUUGACAUUAUAGUUAUCUUUCUGUUUCAUGUCAUAGACAUGUCUGUACAUAAUCAUAAUAAGGUGCAGUAAACUGCAUUAGUGAGGUGUUUCCAAUUUCUACUAACUGUGUGCCUAAUUUCCAUCUUUCACUUUCAGUUCAUGGUAUUAUAGGUCUGUUGCACUUUUGCAUGGACCUUAAUUCAUCCUGCACACUCAAUGUACAGGAUGGAUAAACCAUCCUGCUGGAGUAAUGUAGUUUUGUAUGUCUAAUAAGCUGCAAUGCAGUGCGUACACAACAAUGUAAUCUAUUGUUACAUAGUAGAUGAGCCAUCCACUAGUGAUGUAGAAGAUGUAAUCACAUUGAUGUGUGUGUCCUUAUAUUCUAUUAAAUCUGCACACCAUGCAAUAAUAUAUACCGAUUAAAUUUUUUAAAUGUAUUCCCUGCAAAAUGUGUAGCAUAACUUUCAUAUCUCCUGAACCCCAUUAUGACCGCCGCCGAUGCAAGUAUCCUUAAAUUACCUGUGAUUAUGCCUAUGUGUAUUCGAUAUUGUCGUAGCAUAAGUUUGCUAUGAGAAUUUUUUUUAGUGAGUGGUCAACUCCAAUAUAUGUAUUUGCAACAAAUGAUUAACUUUCAUGCCUAUGUGUUAUCCAUAUUGUCCUUGCAUAAGUUUGCUAUGAGGAUUCGUGGGUCUUCGCAUUCCAUCUCGAUUAUGAAUCCUCUUGUAUGGCUAGUUAUCUAGACGCCUAUCAUUCUGGAUAGUUUUUCUGUUAUUCUUCUAUUUAAG
rnacentral:lncRNA from 1 species